AGAGCACAUGAUGAAUGCCUUGGUGCCAACAGGCUAAGAAGGACGUGAUAAGCUGCGAUAAGUCACGGUUAGCGGCAAAUACGCUAUAACCCGUGAAUCUCCGAAUGGGGUAACCCGGCUGGAUUAAUAUUCAGUCACCACUGUGUGAAUACAUAGCACAGUGCGAGCAAUACCUGGUGAAGUGAAACAUCUCAGUAACCAGAGGAAAAUAAAACGAAAGUGAUUCCGUAAGUAGUGGCGAGCGAAAGCGGAGAAGCCCAAACCUAGAAGCUUGCUUCUAGGGGUUGUAGGACCCCGACAUGGUAGUUAGGAGGUUAGGCGAAGCGUAUGGAAAAACGCUCCACAGAGGGUGACAGACCCGUAACCGAAAACCAAAUAACACCUAGGGAGUUCCUGAGUAAUGCGUCACACGUGAAACGACGCAUGAAUCCACGCCGACCACGGCGUAAGGCUAAAUACUAGUUGGCGACCGAUAGUGAACAAGUACCGCGAGGGAAAGGUGAAAAGAACCGCUGCGAGCGGAGUGAAAUAGUACCUGAAAUCAUGUGCUUACAAGGUGUCAGAGCCCGCAAGGGUGAUGGCGUGCCUUUUGCUUAAUGAGUCUGCGAGUUAGUGUUUGUGGCGAGUCUAAGCCCCUCUGGGGCGGAGGCGAAGCGAAAGCGAGUCCGAAAUGGGCGAAUAGCUGCGGGCACUAGACCCGAAGCCGAGGUGAUCUACCUAUGGCCAGGUUGAAGCGUCAGUAACAUGACGUGAAGGACCGAACCGAUGGGCGUUGAAAAGCCCCCGGAUGAGCUGUAGGUAGGAGCGAAAGACUAAUCAAACCCGGUGAUAGCUGGUUCUCCCCGAAAUCUAUUGAGGUAGAGCCUCGUAUGCUGACCUGCGGAGGUAGAGCACUGGAUGAACUAGGGCCCAUACCCGGGUACCGAAUUCAAUCAAACUCCGAAUGCCGCAGGGUGAAAUACGGGAGGCAGAAUGCGAGGGAUAAGCUUCGUAUUCGAGAGGGAAACAACCCAGACCAGCAGCUAAGGUGCCUAAAUAUUGCUAAGUGGAAAGGAUGUGGAGUUACUUAAACAGUGAGGAUGUUGGCUUAGAGGCAGCCAUCAUUUAAACAGUGCGUAAUAGCUGACUCAUCGAGUGAUUCUGCGCCGAUAAUGAUUGGCGAUAAGCAAUAUACCGAAGCUCUGGAUGCUAGUUUACUAGCGUGGUAGGGGAGCGUUCCCACCGCAUCGAAGCAGUCGGGUAACCGUAUUGUGGAGUGGUGGGAAGUGAGGAUGCAGACAUGAGUAGCGAUAAGACAGGUGUAAUCCCUGUCCGCCGUAAACCCAAGGUUUCCUGGGGAAGGUUCGUCCUCCCAGGGUUAGUCGGGUCCUAAGUCGAGGCCGAUGGGCGUAGACGAUGGUAAGCAGGUUUAAUAUUCCUGCACCGCCGAAAUUUAAACCAGAAUGACGCGGGGUUGGAGAAGAGCGGGGUGAUGAAUGUCCCCGUCGCGCAAGCGGAUGCUAAGGCUUCGGCCAAGGUAGAUUCUUUAAAAACUCCGCCUAGAAAAGCUCUGGCGUAUACUAAGGCGCCCGUACCGUAAACCGACACAGGUGGGUGGGCAUAAGUGUGCCAAGGCGCGUGAGUGAAACCUCGUUAAGGAACUCGGCAAUCUAGCCCCGUAACUUCGGAAGAAGGGGUGCCCAGAAAUGGGUCGCAGUGAAAUGGGUCAACCGACUGUUUAACAAAAACACAGCACUCUGCAAAGUUUUAUGACGACGUAUAGGGUGUGACACGUGACCAAUGCGGAAAGAUUACGGUAAGAGGUUAGCCGCAAGGCGAAGCUUUGAGCCCAAGUCCCGGUGAAUGUCGGCCGUAACUAUAACGGUCCUAAGGUAGCGAAAUUCCUUGUCGGGUAAGUUCCGACCUGCACGAAUCGUGUAACGAGUUGACCGCUGUCUCAACGAGGAGCUCAGCGAAGUUGUAGUGGCGGUGAAGAUGCCGCCUACCCGCAGUAGGACGGAAAGACCCUAUGCACCUUUACUGUACGCUGUCACUGUUGUUUCGAUUUUAUUGCUUAGAGUAAGUGGGAGGCUUUGACUCAUCUCUUUCGGGGGAUGAUGAGCCGCCAAUGAAACACCACCCUGUGAGAUUGGAACAUCUAACCUCGGCCCAUUAUCUGGGCGAGUGACACUGGCAGCCGGUCAGUUUGACUGGGGCGGUCUCCUCCUAAAGAGUAACGGAGGAGUACGAAGGUUGGCUCAACCUGGUUGAUAAUCAGGUGACGAGUAUAUGGAUAUAAGCCAGCUUAACUGCGAGACAUACAAGUCGAGCAGGUACGAAAGUAGGUCCAAGUGAUCCGGUGGUUUAAUGUGGAAUUGCCAUCGCUCAACGGACAAAAGGUACGCUAGGGAUAACAGGCUGAUCCUGCCCAAGAGCUCAUAUCGACGGCAGGGUUUGGCACCUCGAUGUCGGCUCAUCACAUCCUGGGGCUGGAGAAGGUCCCAAGGGUCCGGCUGUUCGCCGGUUAAAGUGGUACGCGAGCUGGGUUCAGAACGUCGCGAGACAGUUCGGUCCUUAUCCACUGUGGGCGCAGGAGAUUUGAGGGGUUCAAUCCUUAGUACGAGAGGACCGGGAUUGACAAACCUAUGGUGAUCCAGUUGUUUCGUCAGAAGCACCGCUGGGCAGCUAUGUUUGGAAAGGAUAAGCGCUGAAAGCAUCUAAGCGCCAAGCCUCUCCCAAGAUGAGAUCUCCCUGAAGAACCGUGGAAGACCACCACGUUGAUAGGUUGCAGGUGUAAGCGCAGUAAUGUGUUCAGCUUAGCAAUACUAAUGUUCGUUCGGCUUUUUU
rnacentral:rRNA from 1 species